rnacentral:rRNA from 1 species
GAUUGGUGCCUUCGGGAACUCUGAGACAGGUGCUGCAUGGCUGUCGUCAGCUCGUGUUGUGAAAUGUUGGGUUAAGUCCCGCAACGAGCGCAACCCUUAUCCUUUGUUGCCAGCGGUUCGGCCGGGAACUCAAAGGAAACUGCCAGUGAUAAACUGGAAGAAGGGGGGGAUGACGUCCAGUCAUCAUGGCCCUUACGAGUAGGGCUACACACGUGCUACAAUGGCGCAUACAAAGAGAAGCGACCUCCCGAGAGCAAGCGGACCUCAUAAAGUGCGUCGUAAUCCGGAUUGGAGUCUGCAACUCCACUCCAUGAAGUCGGAAUCGCUAGUAAUCGUAGAUCAAAAUGCUACGG